UGUGUACAAUAAUCAAGAAAAAUCUUCAUUUCUAAUUCUAUUAUGUGGGAAAAGAACCUUUCUUUUUUCUGCCUGCAUAAAACAAACCCCACUUCCACAUGGAAUAAGCUCCAGACCAUGUUUUCUAUUAUGCUUGAAUAUAUGGGACAUGCAUUGCAAUCCUAUGCUUGCCACACUGCUGCAGUAUACUUGUUUUGCAGAGCUCUGUAGCAGGCUAGUCAAAGCUGUGACUAACCAGACCCUUGGAUACAUACUCUAAUCUCUGGCCUUUAUUUUUACAAUGAAUUUGACUUGUUCAUUGAUUGUAUAUUUUUUCUGAUUUGUGAGAAGCUUCAUGCUCUGUGUUUGGAUGCUGACUGCAAUACAGCAAUAGUCUUUGAUACGCUUUACACUCUCAAAUUAAAGCUUAAAAACCUCCAAGGAAGGAAAGGAGGCCAGAUUGGAGGGGGAGGAGGUGAGAGGAAGGAAACGGGUGGAGAAAACCACUAUAUUCCCAAGAUGCAAGGAAAGUUGAAAAGUAGAAGAAAAAAUAUAUUAAAUCAGUGUAAACUAAGAGGUAAGUUUAAGGCAUUUUUUUACAUUGAAUGUAUGUUUUGUUGGGGUAUUUUUAGCAGUAAAAUUCUGUAUACUUUGUAAACAUUUGAAAUACAUUUAAGUGAGGUAAUUGGUUUUUUUUCAAUUUCUUCUGCUAUGAACUUGAUCUAUAUUUUUAUUAAGCCUAUCAAAGGAUGUGUUGUGCUGGUAUUUUGCUACUUUUCUGCUGUUGCUGGGUAAAACUGUCUAUUACCUCACCAAUGACCUACAUGAAGUGAAACAACAUCCCAUGGCAGCAGACAGGUUGUUUUGUUAUAGAGCUCAGCUGCAAAAGUUAAUUGUUUAUGGAGGCUUAAUGGGCAUUGUGCUCCUACUUACCUAACUCGCUGCAAUUCAGUAGUGUGUUAGUGUAGCUUAGGAAAAGAGCCCCUGAAGUAAUAGAUUUUGGUAUAGUUAGGAAGAUGGUUGACCUGUGUUCUCAACUUGAGGUCAGAGCAAUGUCUUACAUUUUUAUUAGUGUUGUUGCUGUUAUUGCUAUUUGGUGUGCUGCCUAUGCAGGGGUUGUAUACGUUAAGUUUUCAUCAGAGACCACAAGCCAGCUGCUGAACAGUAAAGCUUGGUGAACUUAAAAGCUCAUUUAUUACUGGUAUGUUUGUUGCUAUACUGCCAAGAGCCUGCCAGAGAUGCAACAGAAUAAAAAUAUUGGUGGUUAAUAUGACCGUGC
rnacentral:lncRNA from 14 species